rnacentral:rRNA from 1 species
CCUACGGGAGGCAGCAGUGGGGAAUAUUGGACAAUGGGCGAAAGCCUGAUCCAGCCAUGCCGCGUGUGUGAAGAAGGCCUUCGGGUUGUAAAGCACUUUCAGUGGGGAAGAAAGCCUUGGGGCUAAUACCCUCGAGGAAGGACAUCACCCACAGAAGAAGCACCGGCUAACUCCGUGCCAGCAGCCGCGGUAAUACGGAGGGUGCGAGCGUUAAUCGGAAUUACUGGGCGUAAAGCGCGCGUAGGCGGUCUGAUAAGCCGGUUGUGAAAGCCCCGGGCUCAACCUGGGAACGGCAUCCGGAACUGUCAGGCUAGAGUGCAGGAGAGGAAGGUAGAAUUCCCGGUGUAGCGGUGAAAUGCGUAGAGAUCGGGAGGAAUACCAGUGGGGAAGGCGGCCUUCUGGACUGACACUGACGCUGAGGUGCGAAAGCGUGGGUAGCAAACAGGAUUAGAUACCCGAGUAGUC